CUGAGUUUUACAACUCCCAAACCCAUUGUGAACCUUACCAUCGUUGCUUCGGCGGGAUCGCCCCGGUGCCUCUGUUGCCCGGAAUCAGGCGCCCGCCGGAGGCCCUAAACUCUGGUUUAUAUUGUGACAUUUCUGAGUGGCGCAAGCAAAAAAAUAAAUCA
rnacentral:misc_RNA from 1 species